GACAGAGGGGGCAAGCGUUGUCCGGAGUUACUGGGCGUAAAGGGCGCGGAGGCGGUCUGCGGCGUCGGCGCUGAAAGCGCCCCGCUUAACGGGGCGAGGCGUGCCGAUACGCGCAGACUUGAGGCGAGCAGAGGGUGGUGGAAUUCCGGGUGGAGCGGUGAAAUGCGUAGAGAUCCGGAGGAACGCCAGUGGGGAAGCCGGCCACCUGGGCUCUUACUGACGCUGCGGCGCGACCGCGUGGGGAGCAAACCGG
rnacentral:rRNA from 1 species